GGGGAAGUUAGGGAAGUGACGCUAUUGACAGGAAGUGUUGGUUCGAGUUUUGCCAGGAAAAGGAAAUAGACUUCUUGGUAAACACUGAGGCACAUUGAUGGCGGAAGCUGCCGAGGAAUGCACUAACCACGACCCAUCAGGAGCAAGGGUAAAAUGUCUUGCCCAAGGACACAACGCAAGUGACUAGAAUGGUGGAAACUGGGAUCAAACCACUGUACGCUUCAAAUACCGGACAGCAUCUUCUUUCUACCACGGCCAGAGAAAUUACCUCCUCUCUUGACUUCUUUGACCACUCCCUGGACUUCACCAUGUUGCAAAUACACCAUUGACCAUCUACAAGAAGCUGAGCGUCACAGUCUUUUUCAAUCAGUUUAAUUGUUGCUCGUUAUGGUUCUAAUCAAAUCUAGAGGUGUUUUCAACACCCGAUUGAAAAGACCUUAUUCAAAUUCUGUUCUUAAGAGUUAUGAUCUUCAAGAGGUUGAAUAAUUUUGUCAAUGAGAUAUUAAGAGAAAUGACACUGUUUUGUAUGUUACAAAAUAUAAUGUUGUAAUUCAAGUUGCAUUUGUCUAUUUAAUGGAUCUUUAUUUGAUAUGACUAUAAACAAAAUACGGAAUAAAUGUCCGACUUGCUAAAACACCAAAA